GAUGGACCCGCGUCUGAUUAGCUGGUUGGUAAGGUAACGGCUUACCAAGGCGACGAUCAGUAGCCGGCCUGAGAGGGUGAACGGCCACAUUGGGACUGAGACACGGCCCAAACUCCUACGGGAGGCAGCAGUGGGGAAUAUUGCACAAUGGGGGAAACCCUGAUGCAGCGACGCCGCGUGAAGGAAGAAGUAUUUCGGUAUGUAAACUUCUAUCAGCAGGGAAGAAAAUGACGGUACCUGACUAAGAAGCCCCGGCUAACUACGUGCCAGCAGCCGCGGUAAUACGUAGGGGGCAAGCGUUAUCCGGAUUUACUGGGUGUAAAGGGAGCGUAGACGGCUAUGCAAGUCUGAUGUGAAAGGCAGGGGCUCAACCCCUGGACUGCAUUGGAAACUGUGUAGCUUGAGUGCAGGAGAGGUAAGUGGAAUUCCUAGUGUAGCGGUGAAAUGCGUAGAUAUUAGGAGGAACACCAGUGGCGAAGGCGACUUACUGGACUGUAACUGACGUUGAGGCUCGAAAGCGUGGGGAGCAAACAGGAUUAGAUACCCUGGUAGUCCACGCC
rnacentral:rRNA from 1 species